rnacentral:lncRNA from 1 species
CCGAGUCUGCCAUGUCCUGCAUCUUUCCCUAUUUCGGAACAACAUCCUCUCAGCCGAGAACACCAUCCGCAUCCGAGGAUCCCAUGGCCAGCAUCUGGAUAAGCUUCCAGUUUCGUUCCCAGCACCUCAUCCACGGGAUAAGCUCCAAUCCAGCUAAAGCCGCAUCCAUUCCGGGAUUCGCUGCAUAUGAAGUCAAGCUUCCAAGCUCCUCCCACAUCCCCUGCUUCCGGAUCAUCUCUCUCAGCCGUGAGCAUCCUCUGCAUCCUUAUCUUUGAUUCAAAAGAGGGGAGGAAAGAGAAGUAGGCAGUCUAUUUAAAGGACUCGGACGUGAAGACCAAAGCAUUCCUUCCCCACCGGGGGGAGGGACUGCUCCCACUCCUCCUUCUUCCCCAUCGAAGGAGCUCUUCUCAGGUGACCUCCCACAGAGUGCACAAGUGAGAGAAAAGUUUGGGUAUUUUAGAAAUAUUUCCCAAAGAAAGAAAUAAUGAAGAAAGAGAUGGGAGCCCGCUGCUGUGCUGCUGCUGCCGUCCACCACUGCAUGGAAGCCUAAGCUCUUCACUAGGGCUGGAUGCAGCCCUAGCAAAAGGAUAAGAGUUUUGUAUUUUUUUUAUUUUUAUUCUUG